CUGUUUGAUAUGGUCUGUAAUGCUGUUCAUAGCUGGUUGUCUCAUAGCUGAUACUGUUCGCAAGUUUAAUAAGAAUAUUGCGUUCACUUCUAUUUCACCUUGUGAUAUCCUGGACAGAGGAAACCCUGGUGCAACAUGUGGUCAUCUUAUUGGUGCUACGGUUUGCUGUUUCAUUGCAAGCAUUCUUUUGGCAGUUGAUGCUUUCUUAAACUUCCGUAUACUUAGAGGUCAAAGUGACAAAUCUUCGGCUAAGGCCUCUACACCUGGAACGACUUCCACAUAGGGUGGUCAAACUGUACUUUUCACCAGCGGUUUACUUGAAUACUUGAACGGUUCUUUUUGACAGCGGAUUGAACUUCUGCCAUAUUUUCUUUGACAAUUAAAGCUCGUGUAUUAUCAUAGAUACGCACUGGUUAUAUAUGAGGUGUCAUUUUCAUUUUCAUUUGUUUUACUUUAUGUAACAGUAGUUUUAGCAUGCUUUUUUACUCAAAUAAAACGUGAACAUUAUUUUUGGGUA